rnacentral:lncRNA from 1 species
UCCUUAGGCCCAUCCAAAAAUCCUAACAAGGCAGAGAGGUCCAGUGUUGCUAUAACAGAAGAUAGAAGCUCCAUAUUCCAGUCCUGCCCUCAUAACUCCCUUUCCAGUGACUCAUCUCAGCUGUAAAAUGGGAAUAAUACCAGUAGUUUCACAUUCUUCACACUGUCAAAUAUCAAAUAAGUUGAUAUACACCCACCCCCUCUUCUCAACUCCACCCCAGCUGGUGGAUUAUAGCAGGAUUUCAAUAGUAAAAUCGUAACAUAGGCCAGGCAAGGUGGCUCACACCUGUAAUCCCAGCACUUUGGGAGGUGAGCGGAUUACCUGAGGUGAGGAGUACGAGACCAGCCUGGUCAACACGGUGAAACCCUGUCUCUACUAAAAAUACAAAAAUUAGCCAGACAUGGUGGCAAAUGCCUAUAGUCCUGGCUACUUGGGAGGCUGAGCAGGAGAAUGCUUGAGCCCGAGAGACAGAGGUUGCAGUGAGCCAAGAUCGUGACAUUGCACUCCAGUCUGGCCGACAGAACGAGACUCUGUAUAAAAAAAAAGAAAAAGAAAAAAGUAAACUAUUCUCUUUGGUUCAAUUUCAACCUGUAAAAAUUGUAGAUGUCUCCUUCAUACCUCUCCAAAAUAGUCCAGGAAAUCACUCAAGGGCAUCCCCUUUCUUCCCUGUAUGCCAGCCUACUCCCCUGCUCCUUGUGUGGGUCGGUGAUGACACCCCAACCACUGCUGAUGGAUGCAAUGCCCAGAUCAAAGGUGACUUUUCAUGUAUGCUGUCCUCUCUUGAAACCUUCUCUAACUCCCGUUUUCAUCAGACAGCCUCCUUUCCUACUUCACUGAAACGCAAACGGAGUUAGAAAAAUGAAAGUGUUAGAAAUACUCCAAAACAGAAACAAUUAGGUGGCAAUUCUGUCACCUUUCUGUCACCAGAUCCACAAACCUCAGCAACAGAAUCCAUUUUCUUCCUCUUCCCUUCAAGUAAAGGCAACAAUCCUGCUGUCAUGGGCUGACUGUAACUGAUCCUGUUGGCACCCUCAUCCCAAGUGAUGGGAGGUAGAGUCUUUGGUAGGUAACAAAGACAUGAUUGGAUUUUGUGAGUGGGAUUAGUCUCUCAUAAGGAGAGACCAGAGAGCUAACUAGCUCUCUUUCAGCUCUGUGAGGAUACAGUGUAAGAUUUCAGUCUCCUGCCAGGGAGAGGACCCUCACCAGAACCAGAUGGCUGAUAUCCUCGGAGUUCUUGGACUUCCAGCUUCCAGAACAGUGAGAAAUCGCUUUCUGCUAUCAAUAAGCCACUCAUCUACGAUAGCCUGUCACACGGCCUGAACUGACGAAGACACCUUCCCUUAACAAAGAACAGUCCUUUCAUUUGUGUUCUAUAUCGUAACCAUUCUCACCUGGGGACAGCUAUGUUCUUUCACUUCUUCCUCUUCACUGUAUCAUUAAUCUGACUCUGUUUGGUCAUUUCACCUCUAUGGGAACACACGUUUAAAAUUUCAUAGUCCUUCUACUUCCCGCCUUCUCAGCUCCUCACUCAUAACCAAAUAUCUGAGAUUUGUCUGUACCCACUGGCUCUACUUUUGCACCUCCAUGCCAUAUUAUUUCAAUAAGUUUAGUCAGUACAAUACCCAUUUGCAAUUUAAAUCGUUACACAGAAGUACAAGUUUUAAAAGGAAAAGCAAUAGCUUCCUGUCUCAAAAGUGGAACCCAUAAUUUCCACUUUCCAGAGAAGAUCACUUUCAAUUCUCAAAACUGUUUCUUAUUGAAUUCUACAGCACACUUGGUUAGCUUGGUUGCUGAAACCAUUGGUCUGUGUGCCUUUUUCAAUGGUAGGUCUUUAAGCACCCUCCAAACCUUUCUUUUCUUUUCUUUUUUUUCAGGGACGGGGUUUCACCAUCUUGGCCAGGAUGCUCUUGAACUCCUGACCUUGUGAUGCACCCAACUCAGCCUCCCAAAGUGCUGGGAUUACAGGCGUGAGCCACUACACUUGGCCUUCUUUUUUAAUUGGUAUUUUUAAGUCUUGCAUUUCUUUUUCUUGGCUCAACUUGGAUUAUUUACAUUUUGCGAGAAACUCCCUCUGGGAUUUCAAUGUUGUGUUAUAUGCCUUUUAUGAGUGACUCCCAAAUUCAUAUUUCGGUCUCUGUCUCUAUAUAAUGGACCACAUAACAUCUCCACUUGCAUACCUAAUGCCAUUUCAAAAUUAACAUGUUCAAAACUCAGCUGCUGCUAUCUAUACCCAAAUGUGCUAUCUAAACCCAAAAUUUUUCCUCGGCUAAAUAAAUGGCAACUCCGUUCUUCAAUUGCUCAAACCAAAGCUUUGGAGUCACCUUUUAAUUUUUUUCUUUCUCUCAUAUCCCGUCCAUCUAAAAAUCCUUUUGGCAUUCUAUUCACAAAAUAUACAGAAUCUGAACACUUCUUACCACCUCUUCUGCUGUAAGCUGAUCAAAGCAACAAUCACUUUCCAUGUUCACUGAGAACUUCUAUGGGGGGAUGGAACAGUCCUACUCUGCAGUUGCCUUUCUGGAGCUCAUUCUCCAUAUAGCACCCAAUGUACAUGUUUAAGACUCUGUAUACUAAUUUGUUUAAAAUUAGUAAACAUCCACUGAGUUCCUGGGUCACUCAGUCCUUAUAAUGGUUUACAAGGCCUUACAUGUUUCAUCUGCUGCCACUCAACUUAUUUUGCCUUGUAACACCCUUCCCUCUCUUUAUACUCCUGCCAUGCAAGCCCGUUUGCUGCCUGUUAAGCAUGCCAAGCACACUCCUGCCUUAGAGCAUUUGAGCUCGUCCCUUCCACGGAAGCAGUGUUAUUCCUUUAGUGUGGCUUGAUCUGCUUCUUUCAGGCCUGUUCUACAUAGUUACCUAUUGCUACAACAAUGCUGCAUAGCAAGCAAUGAAGAAACAUUAGUGGCACUCCAACAAUAAAUAUUUAGUUGUGAAUUUCAGCUAAGCUGGGCAGGACUUGGCUGGUCAUGCAUGGGCUCAGUCAUGUGUCCACCUUCAGCUGUGGGUCAGUGAGUCACCUCUUGCUGAUCUCGAAUGGGCAGACUGAUAUAUCUGAGGGUCAGCUGGCUACUGGAUGAUCCAGUAUGUCCUCAGCAGUGAUGCCUGGGGUUACCAACUCUUUCACCCUCCAGCAGGCUAGCCCUGGCAUAUUGUUAUGGUGCAGCCAAGGAACAAGACACAUGCGAAAUUAUGGCAGGACUUUCUCAAAAAAGCUUUAUGACUUCCUCCAGCUUCUGCUUUUGCCUCAUCUAUGAAAAAGCUUUUUUAGGGAAGUGAGAUAUUAACGGAUGAGGCUAAUAGAAGCUUGAGAAAGUGCUGUCACAAUUUCACAUGCCUCUGAAUCAGUCUAGAUUCAGCAGUUGAAAUAAAAUAGAUCCUACUUUUGGUGAAAAGUGAUGCAAAGUCCCAUGGCAAAAAGUCUCAAUAAAAGAGGAAUGAAGCAUGAGAGCAGUGAUGGAAUCAGUCAGCCACAGCAUCUUUUCAGUGAGAACUUCCUGACCACCCAAUAUAAAACAGCAUCUUCCCCUCACACACAUUCUUAUCACUCUUAUCCAGCUUUGCUUUUAUAUCUGUGCCUGGAAUCCUUAUAUGUAUCAAUCAUGGUUCAAUCAAGAAAGUGAACCACUAGGAGAUAUAUGUUGACAUUUAUUGCAGAGUUGUCUUUUGUGAUUGUGGAGGAUGGCUGGGCUGGCCAGAAGUCCACAGGAAGGCACCAGGAAGGAUAGGUGGCUCCUCUGAGGCUGGAGCUAAAGCCUGCAGUCCACGGUGGGGAUUUCUUCUUCCUCAGGGAUGCCUCAGUUCUGCUCUUCAGGCCUUUCACCUGAUUCAAUCAGAUUAUCUAGGGUAACGUUCCUCACUUAGUGAACUGACGUGUAUUUUAGUUCAUCUGCGAAAUACCUGCACUGCAACACCUAUAAUCAGUGCUUAAUUUAAUAACUGGUGACUAUUAAUGAAUUAACAGCCAAACCUUGCUGACACAUAAAACUAUCAUUCCAUGCAUUUAAUUUUUAUUUAUUUACUACCUGUCUGCCCCCCAAGAAAGUUCACUCUGUGUAGGCUGGGACUUCUCUUUAUUUUUCCAGGGAUGGGAAUAAGGCUGCAUCAGGUCAACCCUGAAUAAUUGUAAAAUUGUACUUCACUGAUUUUAUAAAUAAUAUGCUUAAGUUGCUAUUUAUUUUUAAAGUCAGUCUUAUACAAUAUGUUGAUUUUCUCCUGUGACAUGAUACAGUCCCUUAUGUUUUUCCUCCCCACUGCCACCCACACAUUUUCUAUCUGCCCAUAUUCUCAUUUUAGUUUUACAGCACAGUUUAUGAUGAAUAAAAAUUCAAUGUCCACAUUAUUGUGACUGUCAGUAUUUUUCAGAGCAAAGACAUCUAAUGCACUGUGACCACAUUUUCAGUGUUGUAUAUAUGUGUGUGUGUGUGUGUGUGUGUAUUUUAUUUCUCAUGGAGUUCGUUGCCUAAUUUUUUAUCUGCUAACUUUUUCUAAGUAUGUAUUCCCAAAUAUUUCUCAAAAACUUUAAAUUAAGCUGGGCACAGUGGCUCACGCCUGUAAUUCCAGCACUUUGGGAGGCCAGAGAGGGCGGAUCACGAGGUCAAGAGAUCGAGACCAUCCUGGCCAACAUGGUGAAAUCCCAUCUCUACUAAAAAUACAAAAACUAGCUGGGCGUGGCGGCAUGCACCUGUAAUCCCAGCUACUCAGGAUGCUGAGGCGGGAGAAUUGCUUGAACCCGGGAGGCAGAGGUUGCAGUGAGCCGAGAUCGUGCCAUUGCACUCUAGCCUGGCACCUUGUGACAGAGCAAGACUCUGUCUGAAAAAAAAAAAAAAACCAACUUUAAAUUAUCAUUGGCCUCCAAAUAUACUGAUAUAGAUUGGGUUAGGUAUCAGUGUCCUGUUUUGUCGUCUUCCUCCAUCUUCCCUCAUUGCCUUGUAGGUGUGCUGCAUCUUCGUCAUCUGGGACACUCCUUCGCCACUUUUCUCUUCUGACUUUGAUCUCCUGUUUCCUGAAUUCUAAGUUUUCUUUUUCCUGGUUUUUUCUUACAUUUUUAUUAUAUUGUUAUGAUAAAUUACAGCCUUUAACAUAGAAAUAUGUUCUCCCUCAUUUAUUUAAUGCUUUUAAAUUUUUUCUUUGCGCUUUAUCAGGUACGUCUUUGUCCUUUUAUUUUUGGCCUUUCUGAGUCUCUGUUUUAUG